GAUGAACGCUGGCGGCGUGCUUAACACAUGCAAGUCGAACGGUGAAGCCCAGCUUUCUGGGGGUAUUAGAGUCGAACACGGGAGUAACACACGUGAAACCUGUCCCCAAGACUGUGGUAUGACUGCUAGAAACGGUGUCUAAUCGGGUAUAAGCGUCCCCCGCGCGUGGGGUGGUGGAGAGAUUUACCGGUGUUGGGUGGGCGCGCGGGCUAUCUGAUUGUGUGGGAGGUAUUGGCUCACCAAGGCGCCGACGGGUAGCCGGCCUGUGAGGGUGACCGGCCACACUGGGACUGAGACACGGCCCAGACUCCUACGGGAGGCAGCAGUGGGGAAUAUUGCACAAUGGGCGCAAGCCUGAUGCAGCGACGCCGCGUGAGGGAUGACGGCCUUCGGGUUGUAAACCUCUUUCAGUAGGGAAGAAGCGAAAGUGACGGUACCUGCAGAAGAAGCACCGGCUAACUACGUG
rnacentral:rRNA from 1 species